rnacentral:rRNA from 1 species
CAAGUCGUGGGGCAGCAGGUCCGUAGCAAUACGGAUGCUGGCGACCGGCAAACGGGUGCGGAACACGUACACAACCUUCCUUUAAGUGGGGGAUAGCCCGGGGAAACCCGGAUUAAUACCCCGUAACAUGGUGAAGUGGCAUCACUUUACUCUUAUAGCAGCAAUGCGCUUAAUGAUGGGUGUGCGGCUGAUUAGGCAGUUGGCGGGGUAACGGCCCACCAAACCUACGAUCAGUAACUGGUGUGAGAGCACGACCAGUCACACGGGCACUGAGACACGGGCCCGACUCCUACGGGAGGCAGCAGUAAGGAAUAUUGGUCAAUGGACGCAAGUCUGAACCAGCCAUGCCGCGUGGAGGAUGAAGGUCCUCUGGAUUGUAAACUUCUUUUCUUUGGGAAGAAAUCCAUCCAUUCUUGGAUGGUUGACGGUACCAGAUGAAUAAGCACCGGCUAACUCCGUGCCAGCAGCCGCGGUAAUACGGAGGGUGCAAGCGUUAUCCGGAUUCACUGGGUUUAAAGGGUGCGUAGGUGGAUUAGUAAGUCAGUGGUGAAAUCUCUGGGCUUAACUCAGAAACUGCCAUUGAUACUAUUAAUCUUGAAUACCGUGGAGGUCAGCGGAAUAUGUCAUGUAGCGGUGAAAUGCUUAGAUAUGACAUAGAACACCAAUUGCGAAGGCAGCUGGCUACACGAAUAUUGACACUGAGGCACGAAAGCGUGGGGAUCAAACAGGAUUAGAUACCCUGGUAGUCCACGCCCUAAACGAUGGAUACUCNACAUUUGCGAUAAGCUGCAAGUGUCUGAGCGAAAGCAUUAAGUAUC